rnacentral:rRNA from 1 species
CUACGGGAGGCAGCAGCAGGGAAUAUUGUGCAAUGAACGAAAGUUUGACACAGCGACACCGCGUGUGGGAUGACGGAUCUAGGUUUGUAAACCACUUUCAGGAGGGAAGAAAAUGACGGUACCUCCAUAAGAAGCCCCGGCCAACUACGUGCCAGCAGCCGCGGUAAUACGUAGGGGGCGAGCGUUGUCCGGAUUUAUUGGGCGUAAAGAGCUCGUAGGCGGUUCAACAAGUCGGUCGUGAAAGUUCAGGGCUCAACCCUGAAAUGUCGAUCGAUACUGCAGUGACUAGAGUCCGGUAGAGGAAGAUGGAAUUCCACGUGUAGCAGUGAAAUGCGUAGAGAUGUGGAGGAAUACCAAUGGCGAAGGCAGCCUCCUGGGAUAACACUGACGCUCAUGCACGAAAGCGUGGGGAGCAAACAGGAUUAGAUACCCUGGUAGUCCACGCCGUAAACGAUGUCAACUAGCUGUUGGACACCAUUGAGUGUCUUGUAGCGAAGCUAACGCGAUAAGUUGACCGCCUGGGGAGUACGGCCGCAAGGUUAAAACUCAAAU